AUUUAGCGAGAGAGACUAUUUAAAAAAAGUUUAAUUUACGGCGCCUUAAAUAUACAAUAGCAAUUAUUUAGUUACAAGAAAUUGCUAAUUGCGUACCUGACAAGUCUAACGGGUUUAAUCUAUGGUUGGCCAUCUUAUACCUUGGAGAUGUUCCAAUCAAAUGCAACCGUACUGUCCGCACCCAUGUCCACUAUGGAGGUGUCAUUACUGGGCAGUCUAACGAAUGUUGGAGGACUCAUGGCCACACCAUUUUGCGGGUACGCCGUCAAUAAAUUCGGGAGGAAAUAUGCUGCUAUUAUGUAUGGAUUACCUUUUGUUAUAUCUUGGGGUAUUAUAUC